CAACUUUCAGCAACGGAUCUCUUGGCUCUCGCAUCGAUGAAGAACGCAGCGAAAUGCGAUAAGUAAUGUGAAUUGCAGAAUUCAGUGAAUCAUCGAAUCUUUGAACGCACCUUGCACUCCUUGGUAUUCUGAGGAGUAUGCCUGUUUGAGUGUCAUA
rnacentral:rRNA from 1 species